rnacentral:rRNA from 1 species
GCCCGCUCAGAAACUCAAAGGAAUUGACGGGGGCCCGGCACAAGCGGUGGAACAUGUGGUUUAAUUCGAUGCAACGCGAAGAACCUUACCUGGGCUUGACAUUAUAGUGACGGCCUGUGAAAGCAGGUUUUCUUUUCGGAGACACUAUAACAGGUGGUGCAUGGCUGUCGUCAGCUCGUGUCGUGAGAUGUUGGGUUAAGUCCCGCAACGAGCGCAACCCUUGCCUUUAGUUGCCAGCAGUUCGGCUGGGCACUCUAAAGGGACUGCCGGUGUUAAACCGGAGGAAGGUGGGGAUGACGUCAAGUCCUCAUGGCCUUUAUGACCAGGGCUACACACGUACUACAAUGGCCGAUACAAAGGGCAGCGACACUGCGAGGUGAAGCCAAUCCCGUAAAAUCGGUCUCAGUCCGGAUUGGAGUCUGCAACUCGACUCCAUGAAGUUGGAAUCGCUAGUAAUCGUGGAUCAGCAUGCCACGGUGAAUACGUUCCCGGGCCUU